CAGGAAGCUAAGCAGAAGAAAUGCCACUUGGGGUUCUCUAAUCCACGGUGACCUGAGAAAAACACAACAGUGUUCUGGACCAUGUGCCUUCUAGACGGGACUGUGGACUGCACUGUGAUAGCCGAGAAGCUACCAUAGCAACCAAACUUCUGACAACAUAUAAAGGGGUUUUAUGACCAUUGUGAAGAUGCUGUGACACUUUUUCUUCUUUCAAGAAAAUGAAGGUGAUGAUUCAAAAGAAGUCUUCACCUGUUUUACGGAGCUUUCAUCUUCUCUCAGACAAAAGCAGGUUUGGGCUUGGUGCUUGAUCUGCGGCAUCGUUAGGCCCUUUGGUAUUAAAGGGGUUGGGAUGACCCCUGGGCUUUUAAGACUUUAGGGCUAAAUUGAUGUGCAUGUAUAAAAUCUAAGCUUUG